UACGAAGGGGGCUAGCGUUGUUCGGAUUUACUGGGCGUAAAGCGCACGUAGGCGGAUUGGUCAGUUAGGGGUGAAAUCCUGGAGCUCAACUCCAGAACUGCCUUCGAUACUGGCGAUCUUGAGUCCGGAAGAGGUGAGUGGAACUCCUAGUGUAGAGGUGGAAUUCGUAGAUAUUAGGAAGAACACCAGUGGCGAAGGCGGCUCACUGGUCCGGUACUGACGCUGAGGUGCGAAAGCGUGGGGAGCAAAUAGG
rnacentral:rRNA from 1 species